GACGAACGCUGGCGGCGUGCUUAACACAUGCAAGUCGAACGGAAAGGCCCUGCUUUUGUGGGGUGCUCGAGUGGCGAACGGGUGAGUAACACGUGAGUAACCUGCCCUUGACUUUGGGAUAACUUCAGGAAACUGGGGCUAAUACCGGAUAGGAGCUCCUGCUGCAUGGUGGGGGUUGGAAAGUUUCGGCGGUUGGGGAUGGACUCGCGGCUUAUCAGCUUGUUGGUGGGGUAGUGGCUUACCAAGGCUUUGACGGGUAGCCGGCCUGAGAGGGUGACCGGCCACAUGGGGACUGAGAGACGGACCAGACGCCUACGGGAGGCAGCAGGGGGGAAUAUUGCACAAUGGGCGGACGCCUGAUGCAGCAACGCCGCGUGCGGGAUGACGGCCUUCGGGUUGUAAACCGCUUUCGCCUGUGACGAAGCGUGAGUGACGGUAAUGGGUAAAGAAGCACCGGCUAACUACGUG
rnacentral:rRNA from 1 species